rnacentral:rRNA from 1 species
GAUGAACGCUAGCGGCAGGCCUAAUACAUGCAAGUCGAACGAGAUUGUUGUAGCAAUAUGACAUGAAAGUGGCGCACGGGUGCGUAACACGUAUGCAAUCUACCUCUAAUUGGAGAAUAGCCUCGAGAAAUCGGGAUUAAUACUCCAUAACAUUAUUGAAUGGCAUCAUUUGAUAAUCAAACUUCCGGGGAUUAGAGAUGAGCAUGCGCAACAUUAGCUAGUUGGUAAGGUAACGGCUUACCAAGGCUACGAUGUUUAGGGGGUCUGAGAGGAUGAACCCCCACACGUGUACUGAGACACGGACCAGACUCCUACGGGAGGCAGCAGUAGGGAAUAUUGGGCAAUGGAGGAAACUCUGACCCAGCCAUGCCGCGUGCAGGAUGACGGCCCUCUGGGUUGUAAAUUGCUUUUAUACGGGAAGAAAAAAUACUACGUGUAGUAUACUGACGGUACCGUAAGAAUAAGGAUCGGCUAACUCCGUGCCAGCCGCCGCAGUAAUAC